rnacentral:rRNA from 1 species
AGACCGAUAGCGAACAAGUACCGUGAGGGAAAGAUGAAAAGAACUUUGAAAAGAGAGUUAAACAGUGCGUGAAAUUGUUGAAAGGGAAACGCUUGACACCAGUCAUGCGAGCGGAAAAUCAGUCUUUUGCAGUGGGGAGUUGUGUGGGUUCGGACCGCAAGGCCGGCCUGUGCUGCAUCUCUGCUGUAAGUGAUGCACUUUUUCGUUUGCAGGCCAACAUCAGUUUCUUCUGCUGGACAAAACUCUUGAGAAGGUAGCAGCUUUGGCUGUGUUAUAGCUCUUGAGCGAUACAGUGGAGGGGACUGAGGUUUUCGCAGCGCGUGCUCUCGGGCAAGGCUGAUUGGGUGCUAUGGGAUCGUUCGGUGUACAAUGCAUGCAUUUUGCGCCGUGUCUUUUCUAUACUCGCUCAACUCGGCUCUUCCGCGCUUAGGAUGUUGGCUUAAUGGUUUUAAUCGACCCGUCUUGAAACACGGACCAAG